CUUCUUCUUCUUCUUCUUCUUCUUCUUCUUCUUCUUCUUCUUCUUCUUCGACCUUUCCUCACCAUCCUCUCUCACCCAGAAACUCAUUGAUACCCUAAACCCCAUAGAAUCCCAAUCGAUUAAACCCAAAAUACCAUUUAAACUCAGCCCUUAAAAAUCAAUUGAACCUAGAGAUAGGAAAAAGGAUAUUGUUGGCAGCUGGUGAUACAUAUAUUCAGAGCAGCUGCUAGUGAUCAGCUAGAAAUAUGGGCUGAAAGGACUGGGUGUGAGAUUGUUAUGGCUGAAACUGAGAAAGCGAAGGCAUCAGUAGUGCUUUCACAGGCUGUAAAAAGAGGAAAACAGGAAGGUUAUGAUAUUGUAUUAUGUGAUACAUCUGGACGUAAGUAAUUCAUGGGUUGCACUUAGCAAUUAUGAAGUUCUUCAUCUUUUU